rnacentral:rRNA from 1 species
GAACCGCAUGGUUCAAAAGUGAAAGACGGUCUUGCUGUCACUUAUAGAUGGAUUCGCGCUGCAUUAGCUAGUUGGUAAGGUAACGGCUUACCAAGGCAACGAUGCAUAGCCGACCUGAGAGGGUGAUCGGCCACACUGGAACUGAGACACGGUCCAGACUCCUACGGGAGGCAGCAGUAGGGAAUCUUCCGCAAUGGGCGAAAGCCUGACGGAGCAACGCCGCGUGAGUGAUGAAGGUCUUCGGAUCGUAAAACUCUGUUAUUAGGGAAGAACAUAUGUGUAAGUAACUGUGCACAUCUUGACGGUACCUAAUCAGAAAGCCACGGCUAACUACGUGCCAGCAGCCGCGGUAAUACGUAGGUGGCAAGCGUUAUCCGGAAUUAUUGGGCGUAAAGCGCGCGUAGGCGGUUUUUUAAGUCUGAUGUGAAAGCCCACGGCUCAACCGUGGAGGGUCAUUGGAAACUGGAAAACUUGAGUGCAGAAGAGGAAAGUGGAAUUCCAUGUGUAGCGGUGAAAUGCGCAGAGAUAUGGAGGAACACCAGUGGCGAAGGCGACUUUCUGGUCUGUAACUGACGCUGAUGUGCGAAAGCGUGGGGAUCAAACAGGAUUAGAUACCCUGGUAGUCCACGCCGUAAACGAUGAGUGCUAAGUGUUAGGGGGUUUCCGCCCCUUAGUGCUGCAGCUAACGCAUUAAGCACUCCGCCUGGGGAGUACGACCGCAA